rnacentral:rRNA from 1 species
UUUAAUUGAAGAGUUUGAUCAUGGCUCAGAUUGAACGCUGGCGGCAGGCCUAACACAUGCAAGUCGAGCGGCAGCGGGAAAGUAGUUUACUACUUUUGCCGGCGAGCGGCGGACGGGUGAGUAAUGCCUAGGGAUCUGCCCAGUCGUGGGGGAUAACAGUUGGAAACGACUGCUAAUACCGCAUACGCCCUACGGGGGAAAGGAGGGGACCUUC